UACGUAGGGUGCAAGCGUUAAUCGGAAUUACUGGGCGUAAAGCGUGCGCAGGCGGUUAUGCAAGACAGAUGUGAAAUCCCCGGGCUCAACCUGGGAACUGCAUUGUGACUGCAUGGCUGAGAGUACGGUAGAGGGGGGUGGAAUUCCGCGUGUAGCAGUGAAAUGCGUAGAUAUGCGGAGGAACACCGAUGGCGAAGGCAACCUCCCGUG
rnacentral:rRNA from 1 species